rnacentral:rRNA from 1 species
AGAUUGAACGCUGGCGGCAGGCCUAACACAUGCAAGUCGAGCGGCAGCACGGGUACUUGUACCUGGUGGCGAGCGGCGGACGGGUGAGUAAUGCCUAGGAAUCUGCCUGGUAGUGGGGGAUAACGCUCGGAAACGGACGCUAAUACCGCAUACGUCCUACGGGAGAAAGCAGGGGACCUUCGGGCCUUGCGCUAUCAGAUGAGCCUAGGUCGGAUUAGCUAGUUGGUGAGGUAAUGGCUCACCAAGGCGACGAUCCGUAACUGGUCUGAGAGGAUGAUCAGUCACACUGGUACUGAGACACGGUCCAGACUCCUACGGGAGGCAGCAGUGGGGAAUAUUGGACAAUGGGCGAAAGCCUGAUCCAGCCAUGCCGCGUGUGUGAAGAAGGUCUUCGGAUUGUAAAGCACUUUAAGUGGAGAAGGCAGUUACCUAAUACGUAUCUGUUUUGACGUUACCGACAGAAUAAGCACCGGCU